rnacentral:ncRNA from 1 species
UGUCCUCAGGGCGGGGUGAGAGUCCCCACCGGCGGUGUCGCGGCAUGGUCCGCGCGAGCCCGCGAACGGUCCCCAUGGUGGGGACCGCCGAUCCGGUGCGAUUCCGGAGCCGACGGUCACAGUCCGGAUGAGAGAGGACA